UACGAAGGGGGCUAGCGUUGCUCGGAAUUACUGGGCGUAAAGCGCACGUAGGCGGCUUUCUAAGUCGGGGGGUGAAAUCCUGGAGCUCAACUCCAGAGCUGCCUUCGAUACUGGAGAGCUUGAGUCCGGGGAGAGGUGAGUGGAACUGCGAGUGUAGAGGUGAAAUUCGUAGAUAUUCGCAAGAACACCGGUGGCGAAGGCGGCCAACUGGACCAUUACUGACGCCCAGGCGCGAUAGCGUGGGGGAUCAAACAGG
rnacentral:rRNA from 1 species